rnacentral:rRNA from 1 species
AUGCCAUUGGAAAUCUCGCACAGUUCAGCCAUAUUCUUCAGUGAUAGAGAUGAAGUUCUUCUGGUCUCUAAGGAAUUUGUUCUGACUGAAGAGUUAGGAAUUCACCAAUGCGGAUUGCGAAUUUUCCUUACAGUCCUGGGCGUAGUGAUGUUCAUCUCUGGGUUCCACUACACAAGAAUAGCGUAUUAUGCUUACAAAGGGUACCAGGGAUUCUCUUUUGCCAACAUUCCUCCCAUAUGA